CACGUAGUUAGCCGUGGCUUUCUAACGAGGUACCGUCAAAGUGAGAGUAGUUAGUUCCCACUUUUUCUUCCCUCGCAACAGAGUUUUACGAUCCGAAAACCUUCAUCACUCACGCGGCGUUGCUCUAUCAGACUUUCGCCCAUUGUAGAAGAUUCCCUACUGCUGCCUCCCGUAGGAGUCUGGGCCGUGUCUCAGUCCCAGUGUGGCCGAUCACCCUCUCAGGUCGGCUACGCAUCGUCGCCUUGGUGAGCUUUUAUCUCACCAACUAGCUAAUGCGCCGCGGGUCCAUCCUGUAGUGACAGCCGAAACCGUCUUUUAUCAAGUGACCAUGUGGUCACUCGGUUUAUCCGGUAUUAGCUCCGAUUUCUCGAAGUUAUUCCGAUCUACAGGGCAGGUUACCCACGUGUUACUCACCCAUCCCGCCGCUCACUUCUGGAGUGCAAGCACUCCGUCUGUUCGCUCGACUUGCAUGUAUUAGGCCACGCCCGCCAGCGUUCACU
rnacentral:rRNA from 1 species